CAGCAGCCACGGGAAUACGGAGGGUGCAAGCGUUAUCCGGAUUUAUUGGGUUUAAAGGGUCCGUAGGCGGAUCUGUAAGUCAGUGGUGAAAUCUCACAGCUUAACUGUGAAACUGCCAUUGAUACUGCAGGUCUUGAGUAAAUUUGAAGUGGCUGGAAUAAGUAGUGUAGCGGUGAAAUGCAUAGAUAUUACUUAGAACACCAAUUGCGAAGGCAGGUCACUAAGAUUUAACUGACGCUGAUGGACGAAAGCGUGGGGAGCGAACAGGAUUAGAUACCCCUGUAGUCCCUGUCUCUUAUAC
rnacentral:rRNA from 1 species